CCUGUCACUCAGCAAACGAAGGAUGUCAUGGUGGCAGUGAUGGAUUGCAUGGCUAUGUUCCUUCACUUGACCAUGUUGUUGCUGAUACUGGGGAUUUCUUGGAAAAGAUUAGAUUACAGAACCCUGGAGCACCGUGCUUCCUCUUUGGUCACUCAACUGGAGGAGCUGUGGUUUUGAAGGCGGCAACCUAUGCUAAAAUUGAAGAAAAGGUGGAAGGUAUAAUACUGACCUCACC